AACGAACGCUGGCGGCAUGCCUAACACAUGCAAGUCGAACGUGAACGGCACUUCGGUGCUUAUUAGAGUGGCGGACGGGUGAGUAACGCGUGGGAACCUGCCUUGAGGUAUGGAAUAACGUCGGGAAACCGGCGCUAAUACCGUAUGAUCCCUUAGGGGCAAAGAUUUAUCGCCUUGAGAUGGGCCCGCGUUAGAUUAGCUAGUUGGUGGGGUAACUGCUUACCAAGGCGACGAUCUAUAGCUGGUUUGAGAGGAUGAUCAGCCACACUGGGACUGAGACACGGCCCAG
rnacentral:rRNA from 1 species